rnacentral:rRNA from 1 species
CAAUAGCGUAUAUUUAAGUUGUUGCAGUUAAAAAGCUCGUAGUUGGAUUUCGGAUGGGACUUGCCGGUCCGUCGUUUCGAUGUGCACUGGCCAGUCCUAUCUUGUUGUCGGGGACUAGCUCCUGGGCUUCACUGUCCGGGACUAGGAGCUGACGAGGUUACUUUGAGUAAAUUAGAGUGUUCAAAGCAAGCCUACGCUCUGAAUACAUUAGCAUGGAAUAACACGAUAGGACUCUGGCUUAUCUUGUUGGUCUGUGAGACCAGAGUAAUGAUUAAGAGGGACAGUCGGGGGCAUUCGUAUUUCAUUGUCAGAGGUGAAAUUCUUGGAUUUAUGAAAGACGAACUUCUGCGAAAGCAUUUGUCAGGGAUGUUUUCAUUAA